rnacentral:rRNA from 1 species
UACAGAGGUCCCAAGCGUUGUUCGGAUUCACUGGGCGUAAAGGGUGCGUAGGUGGCCAGGUAAGUUCGGUGUGAAAGCUCGGAGCUUAACUCCGAAAUGUCAUUGAAUACUAUCUGGCUGGAGGGUCGGAGGGGAGACUGGAAUUCUCGGUGUAGCAGUGAAAUGCGUAGAUAUCGAGAGGAACACCAGUGGCGAAGGCGAGUCUCUGGACGACACCUGACACUGAGGCACGAAAGCUAGGGGAGCAAACCAGG